rnacentral:rRNA from 1 species
GAUGAACGCUAGCUACAGGCCUAACACAUGCAAGUCGAGGGACCGGCGCACGGGUGAGUAACACGUAUCCAACCUGCCCUUUACUCGGGGAUAGCCUUUCGCAAGCAAGUAUAAUACCCGAUAUAAAGGCUGGGGAGGCGUUCCAUUAGGUUGUUGGUGAGGUAACGGCCAACGAAGCCUUCGAUGGAUAGGGGUUAGGAGAGGAAGCUACCCCACACUGGAACUGCGGUACUGACCAAACUCCUAGGGUGGGCAGCAGUGAAGAAUAUAGUUCAAUGGGCGUUAGUCUGGACCAGCCAAGUAGCUGAAAGGAGGAAGGCUUAUGGGUCGUCAACUUCUUUUAUAGAAGAAGAGGUAUUAUCUGAAUAAGGAUCGGCUAACUCCGUGCCAGCAGCCGCGGUAAUUC